UUUGUUUUGUUAUUAUUAUUAUUACCUGGUUUGUGUAAUUUUUUUAAAUUAUUAUUAUUAUUUAUAUUUUAUUUUAUCAUUUCUGUAAUUAUCAAGUUGUUUAAAAAAAAAAAAAAAUUAUCGCAGCAUGCACGCUGCAAUUUUUUGCAGCGUGCAAAGGACAGCCUCAACAGCCAUUGAAUGGCUGGAUAUGAAGGCGAGAGGUAAGCCUUCAUCCUCACCAUUGAGGUGAGGGUUUAGGAGAUUGGGAAGUGGAUAUAAAAUGGAUAAGAAGGUUCAGCCGUAAGGGGUUUUGGGGGAGAGAAAGGAACGGCUGAAAAUCUGGGGAGAGAAGGGAGUGAACGGCAGAACUGAGAGCAAGAGGGAAAAGGGGCAGAGCUAGGAAAAAAGAGGGAGGACAAUCGAGAGAGAGAGCUAGUGGGGAGAGAGUGGAACGGCUAAGGAAAACUGAGAAGAGAGAGACAAAGGUUGUCGGCUGUAGACUAAAGGGAAAAAUCAGAAACAAGCAAAAGAAAUGAGAGGAAAACAGGCUGAGAAAUCAGAGAGGCUGAUGGGCGGCUGAUUAGGAAGAAAGAGUAGAGCAUACAGAGAGAGAGAGAAGACAACUGCAUCAUCAUCGCUCCUCCAUCGAGUGUUUGCUGAAUCGUUCAAGUUCUUUCUUCGUUUCAGGUAUCGAUUUCUUCUUUUAAAGGUCAAAGUUUUUUCCUUUAGUUAUUUGUUUGCAUUUCUGUGUCCUUGUUGAUUCUGGUCUGGCUUCAAUAUGACUAAGGUUUCUUGUUUUUGGGUUUGGUAAAAUCUGAAGUUUGGGUGGGGGGUUGAUAUUUCACAUAUGGGUGUUUUGGCCGAGAGAAAAUGGUUAAAGUUUCCAACUUUGGUUGGUGGUUCGUCUUAGGUUGAGUUUUGGGUUGCAAGACUAGAUUUUUCUUGUAAGUUAGUGUCAUAGAUUCUCAUUUUAAGUAUUGCUGCUGUCCAUGUGAGGAACAAGAACCAAACCAGAAAAUGGAGUGCUUCUUCGGCAAGUUGAAUUUCUGACUUUUAAUUCGUUGAUUUCCCUUUUCGUUUUGUGAGUUUGUAAGCUGUUUUUGGGUAGUUAUAGGUAUAAAAUGCAUGUUUUGUAUGUUUGGGGGCUGAAACACUUGAAUUAAGAUCAAAUGCUUGCUGAAAAUGAUCAUUUCAGGUUGCUGAACCACCUUUGCACACAUAUUUUUCCAGAAUUUUUUGCAUGGCUUCAGUUUGGUUUUUGUUCGUCUGGAUUGGGGUGGUUGUAUAGUUACUUGCGUAGUUUAAAGCUGUGAUGUUGGGGUUGAAGGGUAUCUAAUCAAAGUCGUGUGUUUGAAUUGGAAAUUUGAGUUAGGAAACAAAAAAAAAUGCAGCAGGCUUCACUUUUGGCUGCUGAAUUUUUCGAGUGUUUGAAUUACUUAGUUUGCUGAUUAUUUGAAAUAUUUUGAGAGGUGUUUAACGUGGUUUUGAGUGAAGUUGAUUUGAAGUUUUAAAUGAACUUGGUUUUGCCGAAAGUUUACAUGCAAGGAUAGAAAGUCAUGGCUGAAAAUUGCAGAAGCCAAAUCCGCAAGUCUGUUGAAAGGUUCAAGCAGUUUGCAUGUUUUUCCAUGCUCAUGGUUCAUUGUACCAUGACAUUUAUGUGUGUUUUGAAGUAAUGAUUUUGUUAGGUGAAAGGUUUGGUUAAAGAUGAGGUGCUAAAGUCCAAAGUUUGUGUUUGAAAAUGCAGCAAAUUAAUACAGAAGCCUAAGCUGCCACAAUUUUUCUGUGAUGUUUUCUUCUCUGUGUUUGAUUUGUUGAGUUUUCCUACUUAACCUGCAUGCCUAAUCUUAUGUUUGAAUGGAAGAAAAGAAGGUUUGGUGUUGAGUUUGCAUUCUUUGAAUCACAGGAAACGUAAACUAGCUUGAAUGUUGGCCAAGUAAAAUAGAUUUCCCUAAAAAUUCUGAAUGGUGGGUGAGUUGUCUUGAACCAAUCUGAAUCAUGAGUUGGUUUCUCAUUCCAGAUUUCUCUUUGUUUUUUUGUAUGCAUAAAAGGUGUUUUUAAGAAUGAGUUUGCAACCUUUAGCGAGUGCUAGGAAGCUGGAUUUUCUUCUUGGUUAAAAUCUUUUCUCUUGCCGCAUAAGGCUGCUGAAGUUCCAAAGUCUCGGCUGACUCUCUUUGGCUGCAGAAAUGUUUCCUAAGCUUUGCAUGAAGUCACCUGAACUGUUCAGAUUUUGCAUGUCUGUUGGCUGACCUUUGGUGUUAAAUUUAUAAGUUUCAUGAUGCAAAAUGAGAGGAAUGUAUGGUAGUUUUUUGUUUGGAUUUAAUUGAGUCUGAAAGCUGUUAAUGCCGAAUUGAGGGAAGCUUUCAUCAGAAUUCUUGUUGCAGGCAAUGUUUACGUAGCUUUGCAUGGUUUUGCAUGAAACUAUUUUUGAAAAUUUCACUUUAACCCCCCAAGUCUCCCCUUGUUCUACUAUGACCCACAAAUUUGAGAAAGCUAAUCAAUUGGGUCCCUGUGAUUUUUGCAGCAAUGCAUUAUGGCCCAAUUACAUUCCAAUGUCUUGCAAUUAGGUUCUAAGGUGUUUGCAUUUGAAUCAUUAAUUGAUCUUUAUUAUUUUGGGGACCUUUGAAGCUCUUUGAUGAUUCAUUUUGACGUUGAUUGUGAUUGAUUAGUGGUCGUUAUUGGGUCCUAGAAAUGCAAGUUUAAACCAUUCAUGGACCUUCAUUCACUCUUGGAUUCUUGAGAUAUGAUGUUUGCUUGGAUUUUAAUUUUUACUUGGGGACCUUUGAGUUUUUAAAUGCUUCAAUUAGGUUCAAAUGAUUUGAGUUGUGCUUGCAUUUGGGUCUUUAGUGGAUGUUAUGCUUGGAGGUUGGAUGAUCAUGUCUUUGCUUGGUCUUUAAUUAGCUUUUUACUUCAUUAAGUUGUAAUUGGGGGAAAAUUUGAUGAUUUGGUGGAUUCCAAUUGUUUUGUUUAUAUCUUAUAACUAAAUUGGUGCGUUAAUCCUUUGCUUUGAAUGGUUUUAUGUAACGACCCACCUCCCUUAAGGCGUACCAGAGGGUUCGCGGGCCGCCUGCCCAGCUCUCGCCGGGACUCAGUCGUUCGCUACAGUUCUCAAUUAAAAAUUGAAAUAAAUCACUAGAAUAAAUAGGGCAUUGAUCUAAACUUAAAGCGGAACUUAUAUACAUUGCCAACCCAAAAGAGAAUAUAAACAUCAAAUAUACAAGGGUUCUCAAUCCUUCAUACGUCCAACCCGUGCCAAGCACUAGGCGAGAACCGCUACAAAAGAAACAAAAGAAACAAAACUAGAUUGGCUAGUCUAUCUCAAGCUCACGUCCUCGCUCGCCUUCCCCUGUAAGGAAAACAAAACUAAAGGAAUGAGCUAAAAGCCCAGUGAGGUUCCGAACACAUAAUCAGAUAAUCAAUCCAAUACAUUAAACAUGGAGUAUCAAUAAUUCAAUAAACAUUUACAAUGGAAAGCGAUAGUAACACAUUCAUUAAAAGGAUACGGCUCACAAGGAGCAAUUCGUUAUUUCGUUCAUUCGUUCUCCUGACAUUUCCCCUUAUUCCUCCAAUCAUUAGAAAAUGCAAUUUUCGUUUAUCAAUAAACCCUCGUUCGUUCGUUCGUUCGUUCAUUCAUUCAUUCACCCCCGUCCUGGCCGUUGGCCAGUCUCCACCAACCUACACGGUAAUACUCGAGUAUACCAAACGUUCACCCAAGUCCCUAAUCGCCCGACCGAGUCCGCUUCUGGCUCGAGACGACCGGUAACAAGGGCAAUGGCCAGUUCAGCCCAAAAGUCUUACAUUCAUGCGCAAGUAACAUUUCAAUCAUUAAAUCCUUGAAAAUUGCACAGUUAUUUAGGUCGAGUGCGAUAAAGUACACACUCGCCUAGAAAGCUCAUUUUGGAAAUCAUUAAAAGCAAUUAACACAUUAGCAAAUGAUAACACAAAGCCAUAAAGUCAAAUAAGGAAACACUCACCUAGAUAUAACAUGCAAAAUCCUUCCGACAUUACCUUAGUCAGCAAUGAAACCUAAGGUUGAACAAGAGAACAUAUUACAGUUUAUCGAGCAAAACAUUUAAGGAAAACAAAGAAACCCGACUAAUUAGGAGUAAAACGUGUAAAGAUGACUUUCAAGUAAGAAGAGGGUUGUUUGAACCCCAGGAUGAAAAAUCGUGUUUUUAAAAUGAAAACCGUCAUGGUAUUGGCCAAACAAAAGUAUACAAGUUCCAAUAGAAACCUAGCCCUCGAGCGAAAAUUUGGGCAGCACGCCCUUUGUGUUACCUAAUUUUCCAGCCAUUUUGGCUUCAUUAUUUUUCCUCAACCACAAACCCAACAUCACACAUAAGCAAUUCAAUCAAGAGCUGUUCCAUAGCUCACAAUAUCAUAAGAAUAAGAAUUACAACAAUCACAAGUGCAGAAAUUCAACUUAGCACAAGACAGAUUUGACGUACGAAUUCCGGAAAUAACAUACUGAAGCUACGCUUAUCGAUUUGAGACAAAACCUAUGCCGUUUCGAAACUAAGACACAGAAUACAAUGUUCAUGAAGGUCACUUAGUCCAGUUCCUAAUGUAACUUAGUCAAAUUCUCAAAUUACUAAACCAGAAACCAAUUCGUCGGCUGUUUAAACGCAGAACACUGUAAUGGACAUAUCUCAGAGUACACAAGUCCGAAUCAGGUGUUCUUAGAGGCAUUUGAAAGCUAAUUCAGAAUACUACAACUUUCAUGUUUUGGCAAAAAGCUAAAUCAGAAUGGAUCCUAGUUGAAAAAUGUGAUAAACUGGACUUAACUGAUCACACGGACUGCUUGGGAAAUACUUAAAACAGUAAGGGUAUUUCGGACUUUUCAUGACCUACAUUGCUCCGAUUGAGAUGAAAUUUUACAGACACCUACAAAAUAUCAUUCUCUACAACUUUCCUUCUUUGACCCAAGGCCAAUUCGGCCUCUAACAUGCAGUUACCAAACCGGACAGAAUGGAAGCUAGAAUUUCCAGAAAUCUGAAAUUUGUAGUUUCUAGUGCAACUUUCCCCAAUUUCUCACUUCUCACACUACCAAAACAUCUUAUACAACAUUAAUUGUAACAUACAAGCAUCAUACAACAAGUUGGGCAGAAUUUCCCAAACCCUAGUUCAUCAUAUAAAGAGGGGAAAAACUUCCAAACAUGCUAGCAUCCAUGAUUCCACUACUACUCAAGUUACUAGACUUAAUUUAACCAAGAUUGAAAGAAAAAUUUAGAGAGAUAUCAUCUUCCUUACCUUAAUAUGAGUUCUCCAAGUGUAGCCCAAGCCUUCUCUUUCCAAAAUUUCACCACCAAACACUAGCUAAUCACUCAAGGAGAAGUUUAAUCGGUUUAGUUCUUUUGAUUUCUCACUUUGUAGCUUGAAUCAAGAAGAAAUGAAGAAAGUUCACUCUUGUUCUUCUCCUCUCUCUCUCUCAGCUCCCUUGGCAGAAAUAUGAAGAGGUAUGAAGCUAAGUUGUCUUAUAUUAAAGCCAAAAGGAUUAGAACUAAUGGUGUCCACAAAUUGCCCAACACUUGGCCUAAUCUUGGCCACUAAUUUUUCUCUUUCUUUCCCUUGCUUAUGAGCCACAAAUUUCGGUCAAGCUUGCUGCCAAGAGAGAAGAUAUUUUGCUCAAGUUCAAUAAAUUUGUUUGGUAAGCAAAAAUGGUGGUCAAGUGGUGCGUUCAAACGGUAGUGCGCGGGACCCGCCGGUUCGCGCCGUUUUUCUUAAAAACUCACGUACUAGGGUUUUUACUUCCCAUUCACUAACCUUAUAUCAUUGCUACCAAUCACAUAUUAUUUCUCACUUAAAAGUCACUUUUAAUCCUCAAAUUUAAUCCUUACUCUGUACCGAAAAUUCAUCCGGCGAAAAAUCGCGAAAACCCUAAUUUUGCUCCAAACUUGAAACCGAAGCGUAAAACCCUAUUUUCUAGGUUUAUCUACACUUAAUGUGAAAUAUUUGGGUAGUGGCCUUUGGUAAAUACUAAUUUUCAAAUAAAAGGGUAUUUUUGAGGAAAAAUACAAGGAAUUUGCGAGUCCUCACAUUUUAGCACAUGUUAUCCCGUUAGUUGGUGACUUAGCCCAGUUUAA
rnacentral:lncRNA from 1 species